GCUGUAAUAUUGGUACUGAUCAAAUUCAGCCACAACCAAAGGAUUACAUCUUUCUUUUUUCCUUAAAUUUGAAGACACCAUUGACAACUCAGAUGACGAAGCAGUGACAGGAAUGAAGUCAACCAAGGCAGAGACUGGUGAAGCUCAUGAUAUCACUGCUAUAAGAAUCAAGGAGGAAUAUCUGGAAGGUAGGACGCCUUUUGUGAGGUUUUCUGAUUCAAUGAGCAGUUGCAGCAGCAUGAUAUUACUGAGGGGCUAUCAGUGCUCUUACUGGGGUCAAUCAAUGAGUUUUGAGUUUAUAAGUGCACAAUGACAGCUGCAUAUUUUUCAAGAAAACAUAAAUACACAUAAAUACAGACAUCUUGAUCUUCAGCUGCAACAUCAAACCAAAAAGUACAUUGUUGUAAGCAUCGCUUAAAAUAUUGAGAUUUUUCCACUUUAUUUCACAUCUCUUGUUAACACUUUCAUCGCUAAAAAAAACAGUGAGAAAGAUCAAGUCUUCAAGCACAUCGACCAGCACAAGUGACAAGACAGCAGAUUGUAUAAUGUUUAUUUUAGUUCUGUUUUUCUGUAAACAAUGACUAAGUCUUUUUCUGUUCAUCUUCCAGUUAUUACAAGUGAAACCUCUGAUGAAUCUGAUGUAGAGAUUGUCAAAAUAAUUCCCAAAUUUACCCAGAAGCGCAAGUUUGUGCGUCAAAGAAAAUCUGUUAAAAGAAAGAUUGAAGGUGAUUUCUUGUCCACAUAUCUGAAGCUUUUUGUUGUAUUAAGGAGAUAUUAUUAAACUGUUCAUCUGUGCAGAUUUUUCAGAUGAUGAACCAUUGAGUAAAGUCUCAAAGAAACAUGAUCCAAAACCUCAGAGACGGACCAAAACAGCAAACCUGCCAAUGAGACCCAGAAGAGAAAGGAGGGCAACAAUGAAAACGGACACCACUGACGACUCAGAUGACGAAGCAGUGACAGGAAUGAAGUCAACCAAGGCAGAGACUGGUGAAGCUCAUGAUUUCACUGCUAUAAGAAUCAAGGAGGAAUAUCUGGAAGAUACCACUGACGACUCAGAUGACGAAGCAGUGACAGAAAUGAAGACAACCAAGGCAGAGACUGGUGAAGCUCAUGAUUUCACUGCUAUAAUAAUCAAGGAGGAAUAUCUGGAAGAUACCACUGACAACUCAGAUGACGAAGCAGUGACAGGAAUGAAGACAACCAAGGCAGAGACUGGUGAAGCUCAUGAUUUCACUGCUAUAAUAAUCAAGGAGGAAUAUCUGGAAGACACCAUUGACAACUCAGAUGACGAAGCAGUGACAGGAAUGAAGUCAACCAAGGCAGAGACUGGUGAAGCUCAUGAUAUCACUGCUAUAAGAAUCAAGGAGGAAUAUCUGGAAGUUAUUACAAGUGAAACCUCUGAUGAAUCUGAUGUAGAGAUUGUCAACAUAAUUCCCAAAUUUACCCAGAAGCGCAAGUUUGUGCGUCAAAGAAAAUCUGUUAAAAGAAAGAUUGAAGAUUUUUCAGAUGAUGAACCAUUGAGUAAAGUCUCAAAGAAACAUGAUCCAAAACCUCAGAGACGGACCAAAACAGCAAACCUGCCAAUGAGACCCAGAAGAGAAAGGAGGGCAACAAUGAAAACGGACACCACUGAUGACUCAGAUGACGAAGCAGUGACAGGAAUAAAGACAACCAAGGCAGAGACUGGUGAAGCUCAUGAUAUCACUGCUAUAAGAAUCAAGGAGGAAUAUCUGGAAGAUACCACUGACGACUCAGAUGACGAAGCAGUGACAGGAAUGAAGUCAACCAAGGCAGAGACUGGUGAAGCUCAUGAUAUCACUGCUAUAAGAAUCAAGGAGGAAUAUCUGGAAGAUACCAUUGACAACUCAGAUGAUCAACCAGCGAGAGAAAUGAUGUCAAACAUUACAGAGACUGGUGAAGCUUAUGAUUACAGAGCUCUAAGAUUAACGGAGGAAUGGAUACAUUUUCGAAUUCCACUGGCAACUCAGAUGACGAAGCAGUGACAGAAAUGAAGUCAACGAAGGCAGAGACUGGUGAAGCCCAUAUCACAGCUCUAAGAAUCACAGAGGAAUGGAUAUAUUUUCUAGUAAGUUAUUAAUCCAGGAGACAACAGACUAUUUGCAUUUUGCUAUUUUUGUACUCUCACCGUGUUACAUUAAAUAUAUUAAAGUUUUUCAAAUCAUCUCUGACCAUUUACUGAUUUAUAUUUCAAUUUGUUACCAAGCUAUCCAUCUGGAAAGGAUGGAUGGCUUCAGAUCAUCUUGAUCAAGGAAACUUUGGCACGCACAUGCCAGUGUGAAUUCUACAGACAAGAACAUUCCAUAGCUGCUUUAAAACUACAUUUUGCUUUUUUCAUGUGAAUUUUCAAUUCACCAAAUCCAUUUUGUUAGAAAUAUUUGAAAUGCAAUACCUACAGAGAACAUCCAGGGUCUCCAAGAAGCCCUUAAACUCCUUCAGCCCUAUAUAUUUUUCCGAGGCGUCAUCGCUAAUUCAUAAAUCCAAGACCACCAAGUGUCUUUUAGAUCCCAUCCCAACACACCUGUUGAAGGAUGUUCUACCAUUGAUAGGCAGUUCUAUCCUGGACCAGAUCAAUGGUUCUUUAGUGACAGGUUAUGUACCCUGGUCCUACAAGGUGGCAGUGAUUAAGCCGUUGCUUAAAAAAACAUCACUGGAUCCUGACGUAUUAGCAAAUUAUAGGCCAAUAUCCAACCUUCCUUUUAUCUCUAAAGUUCUUGAGAAGGUGGUGAUGACUCAGUUACUGGAGCACCUGCAGAGGAACAGCCUGUUUGACAUGUUUCAGUCAGGCUUUAGAGCUCAUCACAGCACAGAAACAGCACUUCUUAAAGUUACUAAUGAUCUCCUCAUAGCUUCAGAUCAUGGACUGGUCUCUAUGCUGGUUCUGCUGGACCUCAGUGCUGCUUUUGAUACAGUCUAUCACAGCAUCCUGUUACAGAGACUGGAACAUGUGAUUGGGAUUAAAGGGACAGCACUAGACUGGUUUAGAUCAUAUUUAUCUGAUAGAUACCAGUUUGCUCAUGUCCAUGGGGUUCCCUCUUCAUACAGUAGGGUUAGCCAUGGAGUUCCUCAAGGUUCUGUACUCGGACCAAUCCUCUUCACAUUGUACAUGCUUCCCUUAGGGAACAUUAUUCGACAGCAUGGGAUACAUUUUCAUUGUUAUGCUGAUGACACUCAGCUUUAUUUAUCUAUGAAACCAGAGGAGACAGAGAAGUUAGUGAAGCUUCAGACCUGUCUUAAAGACAUAAAGUCUUGGAUGUCUUCAAAUUUCCUCCUCCUUAACUCAGGAAAAACAGAGGUCAUGGUGUUUGGUCCUGAACCUCUCAGGGAU
ensembl:lncRNA